rnacentral:rRNA from 1 species
AUUGAACGCUGGCGGCAGGCUUAACACAUGCAAGUCGAACGAGUGGCGGACGGGUGAGUAAUGUCUGGGAAACUGCCCGAUGGAGGGGGAUAACUACUGGAAACGGUAGCCAAUAACGCAUACUAUCGGAUGUGCCUAGAUGGGAUUAGCUAGUAGGUGGGGUAACGGCUCACCUAGGCGACGAUCCCUAGCUGGUCUGAGAGGAUGACCGGCCACACUGGAACGGAGACACGGUCCAGCCUCCUACGGAGGUCACCAGUGGGGAAUAUUGCACAAUGGUCGCAAUCCUGAUGCAGCCAUGCCGCGGGUAUGAAGAGGGCCUUCGGUUUGUAAAGUACUUUCAGCGAGGAGGCGUUACUCGCAGAGGAAGCACCGGCUAACUCCGUGCCAGCAGCCGCGGUAAUAC